rnacentral:lncRNA from 1 species
AGUAGAACAGAUAAAACAUGUUAAUAAAACAUGCUCACAUGGAAUGCAUCACAUCACAAGUAAAUCACCCAUCUCAGACGGACAGAUUCAAAAAUCCCUCUGCUCUGUGCCCGGCCCGCGAAGGAGCUCCUCAGGACUUUAUUCCGCACCCUAUGGUGCUCUAUGCCCGGCCCUCUCAGGGCUCCUCAGGACUUUACUCGGAGGGCUAAUGAAUCCAAACUAUGUCCGAUCCGUACAAGCAUAGAAUAAUGCAAUGCGUCACAUUCGUGUAUUCUAGUGCACUCAACCUAUUACAUAUCAUGAUGC